CUUGUUAGAGAAUGUUAAAUGAGCAGGUCCCUGAGGAGGGGAGCUCAGCUUGGCGGGAUCUUGCCUGGAGGCUGGGUGUAGCGAUGCCUCCUCUUGCCCUCAUAGGAGCUGGUAACUUCGUGCAACAUUUGCCUGAUGUUGUAGGCUCCUGAAAUAUGCCUGAAAUAAACCCAUAUUGGAGUUGAAAAUAACAUAAUGUUCCAGGAAGUCAAAUUAAAAGCAUUUUUUUAAUCAGUGGGGCCUCCACAGGAAAGCAUUGCUAUGCAAGGAGACAGAGGCAGCGUCCAGUUAGCUGUGAGCAGGGCCUGCACGCGUGCACUGCUGUGUUUGCUGCUGUUACACGAGGGCUGUCAGCACAGUGCUGGGAAUGCUGGGGAGGCAGCGGAGAAGCUGAAGAGGUGAAGCAAUUUAGGACACAACCCAAAGGUUAUCCAAGCCGUCAGGAGGCUUCGUGUUGGUUCCUGCAGCCUUCGGCACAGGCACGGCUCCCCUCACUGUAACCACAUCUGAGCCACUGCAACAGGCAUUACUUAAUAGCGCUGAGAAGAGAAACAGAAGAAAAUUUCUUUGAAGAUAUGUGCCAAUCUCCCAAGUAGCAUUUCCAGCAAAAAGGCAACAUAAGAGCUACCACCGCUGCAGACAGAAAAGGAAAAUGCAGUCUUCUUCACCUCUCCAAAGCCGCAGUGCAACUGGUGCUGGUAAAUGGCUCUGAAAUAGAGGCUCAGACUUUCACCAUUGCUUGCUCCAUUUGUGAAUAUGUUCAUCUUGAUGAACUUAGAAGCAGUGUUGUAAAUGUCUUCCAGUUAGCUGUAUAUUGGAGGUUAUUGUAAGUCCCUUACCGAGGGAGGGUAUGGCUUAUUUUAAAUGGUGAUUGUGAGCACCGUUUUGUAAAUAAAAACUCACUCCCAAGGCUGUUGUGUUUUUGAGGCAGCCUCCUGCCAAGGUCCCAUGUGGAUUGGGAUUGUAUGCAAAGAUGCCAUCUCUUCUUUUCAACAACUAUUCCUCUCUGAUUGUGUAAAAUCCAUAGUUUUACCUGGGCCUGAAGAGGCAGGAGAGAAGACAGUGGAAAUGCAGGCAAAUGGAGGAGAGCCAUUUGCCACCAUCCAAACAGGUCUGCUUCAACCACUUUUCUGUUAUGUAUCUGCUUUUAGCCAGAGCUACUUGGUGCAAGCAGAGUUAGAGACC
rnacentral:lncRNA from 1 species